GAUGAACGCUGGGCGGCGUGCUUAACACAUGCAAGUCGAACGGAGAAACGGUAGCUUGCUAUCUUUUUUAGUGGCGGACGGGUGAGUAACGCGUGGGUAACCUGCCCUUUGCAGGGGGAUAACAGUGAGAAAUCGCUGCUAAUACCGCAUACCAACUUCUUUCGCAUGAAAGAAGUUUGAAAGAUUUAUCGGCAAAGGAUGGACCCGCGUUGGAUUAGCUAGUUGGUGAGAUAACAGCCCACCAAGGCAACGAUCCAUAGCCGGCCUGAGAGGGUGAACGGCCACACUGGGACUGAGACACGGCCCAGACUCCUACGGGAGGCAGCAGUGGGGAAUAUUGCACAAUGGGCGAAAGCCUGAUGCAGCGACGCCGCGUGAAGGAUGAAGGUCUUCGGAUUGUAAACUUCUAUCAGCAGGGAAGAAAGGGCUUAUAGCCUAUGACGGUACCUGACUAAGAAGCCCCGGCUAACUACGUG
rnacentral:rRNA from 1 species